AACGAACGCUGGCGGCAGGCCUAACACAUGCAAGUCGAGCGGACCCUCCGGGGUUAGCGGCGGACGGGUGAGUAACGCGUGGGAAUAUGCCCUUCUCUACGGAAUAGUCCUGGGAAACUGGGGGUAAUACCGUAUACGCCCUUUGGGGGAAAGAUUUAUCGGGGAAGGAUUAGCCCGCGUUGGAUUAGGUAGUUGGUGGGGUAAUGGCCUACCAAGCCGACGAUCCAUAGCUGGUUUGAGAGGAUGAUCAGCCACACUGGGACUGAGACACGGCCCAGACUCCUACGGGAGGCAGCAGUGGGGAAUCUUAGACAAUGGGGGCAACCCUGAUCUAGCCAUGCCGCGUGAGUGAUGAAGGCCUUAGGGUUGUAAAGCUCUUUCAACUGGGAAGAUAAUGACGGUACCAGCAGAAGAAGCCCCGGCUAACUCCGUG
rnacentral:rRNA from 1 species